rnacentral:rRNA from 1 species
UAGGGAAACUUCGGCAAUGGGGGGAACCCUGACCGAGCAACGCCGCGUGAGUGAAGAAGGUUUUCGGAUCGUAAAGCUCUGUUGUUAAGGAAGAACGAGUGUGAGAAUGGAAAGUUCAUACUGUGACGGUACUUAACCAGAAAGGGACGGCUAACUACGUGCCAGCAGCCGCGGUAAUACGUAGGUCCCGAGCGUUGUCCGGAUUUAUUGGGCGUAAAGCGAGCGCAGGCGGUUAGAUAAGUCUGAAGUUAAAGGCAGUGGCUCAACCAUUGUAGGCUUUGGAAACUGUUUAACUUGAGUGCAGAAGGGGAGAGUGGAAUUCCAUGUGUAGCGGUGAAAUGCGUAGAUAUAUGGAGGAACACCGGUGGCGAAAGCGGCUCUCUGGUCUGUAACUGACGCGGAGGCUCGAAAGCGUGGGGAGCGAACAGG